rnacentral:lncRNA from 1 species
UGUAUCACUGUUUUAGGAUAUGUCGAUUGAAUUAGUGCUCUCUUUCUGUUCUUUUUCGUAGUUUUCAAUUACACUUGGGUAUAUGUCUGAUUUUGGUUCAUGUGUGCUUUUAAAUUAUGAGUGAAGGAAUGGUUAUUCUUCUUUCUUUUUUUUCUGCUCUUGAAGCAACCUUCGUCUCCACAUAAUGAUUUUUUUUGUUUGGCUCUUGAAGCAACCUUCCUCUCUUAUCUAACGAGGUUUAUCUCAACUUUUUGUGUUUUGCGGAUUAAGCUAUGAGUUUCUCUAGGUAGUUGCUGUUGUUUUUUUUUUCUUUAUGGUUCGCUGCUAAUAUAUUGAGUAGUUAAUUAGCAGUUUUUCACCUUUUGUUCGUUGUUUAUUGUAGUUUUUAUGUUCAUUUAGUGAUUGAUGGGAGGUUUGUUCAUGGUUAUGCUCUUCUAGGUUGCUUUCUCUGUUUGGAAUAUGCGUCUGGUUUGUCAAAAACUAAUUAAUCACUCCGAUGAUAAAUGAAUCUACACAUAAUUGUUUCGUUGAGUAUCAUACGAAGUGUUCACUCUAGCUACCAAUGCUAAAUGCUCACAAGAAUGUGAAAAAGAUAGUAAUAUGACACAAGACAAAUGUAAAUAACGCUAAUUAAUCAAACAAAUAAAAUAAACUUAAACAUCUUAACAUCAUGAUCAAAUCUAAAACAUCCUUACUUCUGAUAUGAUCGUGACCAGCUCAGAGGAGGAGGAACCAGAGGUAGCUGGCAGGAUCACUCGUUCCAGAGCUAGAG